rnacentral:rRNA from 1 species
UACGUAGGGGGCAAGCGUUAUCCGGAAUUACUGGGUGUAAAGGGUGAGUAGGCGGCAUGGUAAGCCAGAUGUGAAAGCCUUGGGCUUAACCCGAGGAUUGCAUUUGGAACUAUCAAGCUAGAGUACAGGAGAGGAAAGCGGAAUUCCUAGUGUAGCGGUGAAAUGCGCAGAUAUUAGGAAGAACACCAGUGGCGAAGGCGGCUUUCUGGACUGAAACUGACGCUGAGGCACGAAAGCGUGGGGAGCGAACAGG